ensembl:snRNA U6 U6 spliceosomal RNA
GUGCUCACUUCAGCAGCACAUAUACUGAAAUUGGAACCAUAUAGAGAAGAUCAGCGCAGUCCCCGUGAAGAGGAUGACCUGCCAAUUUGUGGAGCAUUCCAUACUUUU